rnacentral:lncRNA from 1 species
CACAAUCGGUAAAUUGAAAACAAGGGUGAUCACUAUCAAGCAUUACGGGAGGCGGAUUAGGAAGUCUAGGUUGAUGACUACUUUCAACUUGCUUAUCUUUUGUAGGUCGGGGAGCAGUGGGAAGGGUAGUACUAUGACAACUACUUUCACCGGUUUUACCUUUUCCUUUACCGAACAUAUUUUCAAAGAAAAUGCCAUACUAAUUAGAAUUAUGCAAACUAAAC